rnacentral:rRNA from 1 species
AGUGAACGCUGGCGGCAGGCCUAACACAUGCAAGUCGAACGGCAGCACGGCAGUAGCAAUACUGUGGGUGGCGAGUGGCGGACGGGUGAGGAAUACAUCGGGAUCUACCCUGUUGUGGGGGAUAACGUAGGGAAACUUACGCUAAUACCGCAUAAGAACUGAGGUUGAAAGCGGCGGACCGCAAGGCGUCGCGCGAUUGGAUGAACCGAUGUCCGAUUAGCUAGUUGGCGGGGUAAAGGCCCACCAAGGCGACGAUCGGUAGCUGGUCUGAGAGGACGACCAGCCACACUGGAACUGAGACACGGUCCAGACUCCUACGGGAGGCAGCAGUGGGGAAUAUUGGGCAAUGGGCGCAAGCCUGAUCCAGCCAUGCCGCGUGGGUGAAGAAGGC